GAAAGUGGAUCAGCUAUCUGAGGAGGUUGAUUCAUUGAAGGAAACCCUCGACAAGCACUUAUUGCGCCAAUGAGAGCGAAUUUGGGAAGCUAAGGAAAGGGCGGAGCUGUUUGAGAGAGCUAAUGGUGGGCCACCGGAUGUCCUUCAAAUAUUUGACGACGAAGCCUAGGCAAUGCAAUCAGGGAUAUGGUUAGGGUUUGUUAAUUUUAGCUAGGUCUUUGUUGCUGAUCGAUGGCCAGUGGCGCUCUUCUGCUUGGAACAAACACUAUAUGUAGUUGCUGCUCCUCUAGGUUGGGUCGUUGCUACUGCUUUGGCUGUAGCUCUGUGCAGUGGAUUAGGGUCAAUAUUUUGGUUCUGAAAGAAAGAGAGAAACAGAGGAUCAUGUUCUUUCUUGGGUCCAAGACUAAAAGUUGGUUUCUAGGUAUCUGCUGCAAGGCUUGGAUUGACGUAUGUUGGGAUGAUCUCAUAUGGAUAAAUGGUAGAUCAAGGGCUUUUAAUCACUGAAGUAGUAUCCAUACGUAUGACUGGUGAUGCAAAUAAUGGAUGUGGAAACUAUAUGAAUGUCAAGUGGAGAGUUAAAUGAUUUAUCAAUGUUGAUUUUACUAGAAUUAUUCUUGAAUAUCAGUGAUAGGAUCUUGAGACGGCCCUCACGGGAGUGGUCGCCGCCCCCGGUCAACUAUGGUCACCUCCGUUAGCACCCACCGGCAGGAUCCCCCUCCCCCUCGCCUCCCCCUUAACCACCAUUUCAUGUCCACCACUGGGAGGAGCGGCGGUUGCCGCUGGCGCAUAUGCAAAGCCUGGAGACAUCGCCAUCGACGGGAGGAGAAGGACUGUCUUCGUCGCGUUUGUGCACUUCCGUGAAGAGGACAACUCGAGGUGAGGAGAACCGCUUGGCAGGAGGAGCUCAAGCCCAG